rnacentral:lncRNA from 1 species
GGUUCGAGACGGCCAAGUCCUUCGCCCUCCAUGGUGCGCACGUGAUCCUGGCCUGUAGGAACAUGAGCAGAGCCAGCGAGGCCGUGUCCCGCAUUCUGGAGGAAUGGAAAACACUCGUGAAUAAUCUGCUGUGCCGUGCGUGGAGAGCGGUGUCUUCUUCAGCACUUGUCCAAAGGGGAGGAGGGGCAGGAACAUAGAGCUCUGACACCCCUCAGUGCCCCACCUGUUUACAGACACCAUUUGAUUUAAUCCUUUAAUAACCUUCUGGAAGGAUCGUCACUGUCUCCACUGGGUCAGUAAGGGAAGUGACAAUGGUGACACAUGCUGACUGCAGGAGGAGGGGAGCAGCGUGCCCGAGGCCAUGUUCCCGAUUCCUGGGCAGAAGCAGAAUUUGAAAAUGGAGCCCAUUUGUCUCAGCCAUGGGCAAAGAGCUGUCAUGGUCAUGCCCCAAGUUGCCUCCCUACUAGCACUUUUUCUUUUCUUUUAAAAACUUUUCUUCUUUUUCUUUAUCUAGCAAAUUUGUAGUUAUUGUGAUGUGAAAGACAGUUUCCACCCCUUUUGUCU